GCCCCCUUAGCUCAGUGGUAGAGCGCGUUCUUGGUAAGAACGAGGUCGCCGGAUCGAUUCCGGCAGGGGGCUCCA
rnacentral:tRNA from 3 species